rnacentral:rRNA from 1 species
AUUGAACGCUGGCGGCAUGCUUUACACAUGCAAGUCGAACGGCAGCGCGGGCUUCGGCCUGGCGGCGAGUGGCGAACGGGUGAGUAAUGCAUCGGAACGUGCCCAGUAGUGGGGGAUAGCCCGGCGAAAGCCGGAUUAAUACCGCAUACGACCUGAGGGUGAAAGCGGGGGACCGAAAUGCCUCGCGCCAUUGGAACGGCCGAUGUCGGAUUAGCCAGUUGGUGGGGUAAAGGCUUACCAAGGCGACGAUCCGUAGCUGGUCUGAGAGGACGACUAGCCACACUGGGACUGAGACACGGCCCAGACUCCUACGGGAGGCAGCAGUGGGGAAUUUUGGACAAUGGGGGCAACCCUGAUCCAGCCAUGCCGCGUGCGGGAAGAAGGCCUUCGGGUUGUAAACCGCUUUUGUUCGGGAAGAAAUCCUCUGGGCUAAUACCCCGGGGGGAUGACGGUACCGGAAGAAUAAGCACCGGCUAACUACGUG